rnacentral:rRNA from 1 species
CAGCAGCCACGGGAAUACGUACGUCACAAGCGUUAUCCGGAUUUAUUGGGCGUAAAGCGCGUCUAGGUGGUUAUGUAAGUCUGAUGUGAAAAUGCAGGGCUCGACUCUGUAUUGCGUUGGAAACUGUGUAACUAGAGUACUGGAGAGGUAAGCGGAACUACAAGUGUAGAGGUGAAAUUCGUAGAUAUUUGUAGGAAUGCCGAUGGGGAAGCCAGCUUACUGGACAGAUACUGACGCUGAAGCGCGAAAGCGUGGGUAGCAAACAGGAUUAGAUACCCCUGUAGUCCCUGUCUCUUAUACA